rnacentral:rRNA from 1 species
GGGAUCCGUCAGGCUUUGCUUGGUGGUGAGAGUGGCGAACGGGUGAGUAAUGCGUGACCGACCUGCCCCAUACACCGGAAUAGCUCCUGGAAACGGGUGGUAAUGCCGGAUGCUCCAGUUGAUCGCAUGGUCUUCUGGGAAAGCUUUCGCGGUAUGGGAUGGGGUCGCGUCCUAUCAGCUUGACGGCGGGGUAACGGCCCACCGUGGCUUCGACGGGUAGCCGGCCUGAGAGGGCGACCGGCCACAUUGGGACUGAGAUACGGCCCAGACUCCUACGGGAGGCAGCAGUGGGGAAUAUUGCACAAUGGGCGCAAGCCUGAUGCAGCGACGCCGCGUGAGGGAUGGAGGCCUUCGGGUUGUAAACCUCUUUUAUCGGGGAGCAAGCGAGAGUGAGUUUACCCGUUGAAUAAGCACCGGCUAACUACGUGCCAGCAGCCGCGGUAAUACGUAGGGUGCAAGCGUUAUCCGGAAUUAUUGGGCGUAAAGGGCUCGUAGGCGGUUCGUCGCGUCCGGUGUGAAAGUCCAUCGCUUAACGGUGGAUCCGCGCCGGGUACGGGCGGGCUUGAGUGCGGUAGGGGAGACUGGAAUUCCCGGUGUAACGGUGGAAUGUGUAGAUAUCGGGAAGAACACCAAUGGCGAAAGCAGGUCUCUGGGCCGUUACUG